AGAGUUUGAUCCUGGCUCAGGACGAACGCUGGCGGCAUGCCUAAUACAUGCAAGUCGAGCGGACUUGAAGAGAAGCUUGCUUCUNUGAUGGUUAGCGGCGGACGGGUGAGUAACACGUAGGCAACCUGCCCUCAAGUUUGGGACAACUACCGGAAACGGUAGCUAAUACCGAAUAAUUGUUUUCUUCGCCUGAAGGAAACUGGAAAGACGGAGCAAUCUGUCACUUGGGGAUGGGCCUGCGGCGCAUUAGCUAGUUGGUGAGGUAACGGCUCACCAAGGCGACGAUGCGUAGCCGACCUGAGAGGGUGAUCGGCCACACUGGGACUGAGACACGGCCCAGACUCCUACGGGAGGCAGCAGUAGGGAAUCUUCCGCAAUGGGCGAAAGCCUGACGGAGCAAUGCCGCGUGAGUGAUGAAGGUUUUCGGAUCGUAAAGCUCUGUUGCCAGGGAAGAACGCUUGGGAGAGUAACUGCUCUCAAGGUGACGGUACCUGAGAAGAAAGCCCCGGCUAACUACGUGCCAGCAGCCGCGGUAAUACGUAGGGGGCAAGCGUUGUCCGGAAUUAUUGGGCGUAAAGCGCGCGCAGGCGGUCAUUUAAGUCUGGUGUUUAAUCCCGGGGCUCAACCCCGGAUCGCACUGGAAACUGGGUGACUUGAGUGCAGAAGAGGAGAGUGGAAUUCCACGUGUAGCGGUGAAAUGCGUAGAUAUGUGGAGGAACACCAGUGGCGAAGGCGACUCUCUGGGCUGUA
rnacentral:rRNA from 1 species